AUGGGCAACAGAAAGAGGAAGUAUGCACCUCCCUUGCAAUCAUUCAGCAGUUUGAUUUAGGAAGUUGUCAUUUGUCUAUGCACUAUUUUCUUUCCUCGCUACUUUGUGUGUGCAACCAAAUCAUAAGUGAUUCUGUCAGAACUGUUAUUUCUUUUUUUCCCUAUCACUACCAGCAUUGCUUAUAGUGACUUGGCUUGAUCUUUGCGAACU
rnacentral:lncRNA from 1 species